ensembl:lncRNA
CUCCAUGGAAAGUAGUCCUGGAGCUGGAGUAGGCAGUGAUGUUCUUGUGUUGGUCAUGGGCAGCUCCUUUCUGUGCAAGGCAAGUUCAUUGCCUGGGAUGAAUAGCAGGGGACAACAGCACAAACAUCCAAUGCCAUAACCAGUAAAGCUGCUCGAAGGUUGUGAUUCAGAUUUAUAUUUUCUCAUCGUAGAACCUUUGAGAUUAUUCUCCUUGCAUGUUUUCCAUGCUCACUGCUAAGUACCCGUGACUAGCAGUAUGUCUCCACAAGUCUGCUGUUCUCCAGGCUGGAUUUCACCUUGUUAACAGCAGCUUGCUUGCUCAUCCUCAUUCAUUUCCCCCUCUCAGUGUAUAAAGGUUUUCAAAGUGUUUUUGCUUUUGUCAGCACCGACAAAUAUUGGGAAGUUGCUUGCAAAGCAAUAAAGACAAAAUGUUGCAUAAAGCGUUUGAUCAAAGUUGCCAACUUCAAAAAUCUUCCAGGAAGGUUGCAGUUCCCCUCCUGCUGAACCCACAUGGGCAGAGAUGUGAAAUGAAACUGAUUCAAUCUGCUACCCCCUCCGCUGUACUCCAAAGGACUGAAAGGAAAGCCUCAAGCUUGUGCAGACCUCAACCUCAUCAAGCAACUCCUUCAAUAAAUCAGCCCUUCCCACACGUUCUGAAAUUACAUUAUCUCCUAGCCACAAGACAUUUAUGAUUCAUACAGGACAGGCUCCUUGGGAAAUGAUUACAAGCAGUCCCAUCUGCAGCAUAACACCGAAAGUCUGUACAGUCAAAGGCAGUUAAAAAACAGAUACAUCAGAGCUCCCGAAACGUGUUUCAGCAAGAAAGGAUCACAUAUUUCUCCUUCGUCAGCGGCUCAUCAGCACCAUUUUGAAUGGAGUUAUUUAUUGGUUAUUCCCGUACAAAACAGCAACCCAAAGAAACUGCCUCAAGUUACUGUUUACAGACAAUCUGUUGGAAAGACCGUGUCUGUGUACCCCUUGAGAAUCCCAUAUAUCCCACCUGUGCCAUGCUGAAAGAAACAUACCUUUUUCUUGGUCCAGAUCAACAAUUCUCUCCAGAACAACGUGAAAGACUCGUACUGCCCACGUGUAGGUGUUGGCCAUUGGGUGACCCUACAUUGGUGCUGCCCAUUCGGUGAUGAUAUUCCUGCUGGCCAUAAGAGGAGUUUGGAGGCUAACUCGUAGACACCUGCAUGUACAAAGAGCUGUGACUGUGCAUGAAACUAUUCCAUCUAUGGAGUGUCCCAUCUGCCCACUUUGUGCUUAUCUGUGAUGCAAAAGCAUAUGAGAAGAAUGCACAUGGCAUUUGGAGAUGGACUAUAUGACCUUUGAAGAUCGCUUCCUACUCAAAUAAUUCUGUGAUUCCGUGAUGACUGAAGGAGUGAAGAGGGUUGCAAAGGGUACCAUGGUUUUGUGUAUUCACAUUGGACCUUCACAGGAUGCUGGGGUCAGACUUGUGCUGUGCUAAGCAUCACAGGGGAAAGCAACCCUUACAUAGGGAAGUUCACCUGGUGCACACCUCUCCAUAUUGGGAGGGCGUGCUCUGAAGGAGAAGGGAGGAGGUCAGGGAUGCACCUCGUGCAGGCUGCCCUCACAUCAGCAUAAGGCACUGAACCCUGGUAUCAAAUGGCAGGUGAUUCAGAGAGGCCAGCAGAUCCUGUAUGUGAUUGUAGGAUAUCUCAUCCAAGAUGAGAGGUGUGAUGAAGUGUUCUUUGUUACUAGUUUAUGUGGAUUAACCAGUGAAGGUUUGGCUCUCUAGUUCUCAUAUUCCUACAUGUGCAUACAGAUAGUCCAUUGCACGUGUUCUGAAUAUAUAACAUCAUGUGUGUUGAACAUUUGUAUCACAUGUACUCAGUACACCCAAAUGUCAGCACAGCUCUGACAUGAGCGCCCGUGGGUACCACAAUUGGCACUGGCAGAGAAGGUGAACCCCUUGUCAGCAGUAUCACUUUCCAGCUUUGUGCCAUGGACUUCUCCGAGUCAUGUAGUAUUAAUGAUGAGUCUCUUGCUCUCUGAAAUGCUUUUUGCAGUGUGUCCACCCCAAAAGCAGGAAUGAGGCUAACACUGUCCCUGUUCAGGAGCAACCUGAUCCAGCUGUGGCUGUUCAUUGCAGGGCAGUAGGACCAGAUGGCCUUUAAAGGUUUCUUCCAAAUCAAACAAGUCUAUGAUUCUACGACCAAAAUUUCCCAGGUCUGAUGAGAAGACAAGACGUGCCAGCUCUGCCAUUGCUCUCCUGCUGUCACAAUUAAACCUGUGUGGAAAGACUUUGUUAAGAUAAUAACAGACUGAAGCAAACCAUUGAGAGUGUGCAAGUAAAGACUGAAUUAUUGCAAUAGACAUAUUCGCUAUAGAAAUAGUCAAGAACUUCAGGGUAAUUUUCAGUCAUACCUCCCAUGAAUCUUUGUUAGAGGCAACACCAGCAAGAAAUGUAUCAGAGGAAGGAAACCAGAGGAAGGAAACAUCCAGGCUGGAUGUGGCUCUGGGCAGCCUGGUCUGGUGGUUGGCAACCCUGCACAUAGCAGGGGGGUUGAAACUGGAUGAUCACUGUGGUCCUGUUCAACCCAGGCCAUUCUAUGGUUCUAUGAUUCUAUGAAAACGUAUCCUGUAAAUCUUCAUGUUACAGCUCCCUGGAGUUUGCAGCAAGCACAGGUCAAUUUAGCAUAGCUAUUUGUGAGUGACACAGACAACAGCAGCGCAUCCCUCUCUAUUUCCAGUAAUGCCAAAUCAUGAAUCAUAGAAUGGUUUGGUUUGGAAGGGACCUUUAAGGUCAUCGAGUUCCAGUACCUCCCAUUAGACCAGGUUUCUCAAAGCCCCAUCCAGCCUGGCCUUGAAUAUCACAAUUCAAACUAAAUAUAAAUAAACAUAUAACUAUAAAUAAAUAUAUGUAUAUAUAUAUUUUUUUCAAUUAAGCUGUAUCUUUUAAACACAAAGCAUUUAAUCAUAAAACAAUGCCUACAGUAAUGUAGAACAAUAAACCUCUUCUACCAGUAAGAAUUUUACACAGGAAGACUUAUUGUUUGGGA